UACAGAGGUCUCAAGCGUUUGUUCGGAUUCAUUGGGCGUAAAGGGUGCGUAGGUGGCGCUGUAAGUCGGGUGUGAAAUUUCGGAGCUUAACUCCGAAACUGCAUUCGAUACUGCGGUGCUUGAGGACUGGAGAGGAGACUGGAAUUCAUGGUGUAGCAGUGAAAUGCGUAGAGAUCAUGAGGAAGACCAGUGGCGAAGGCGGGGUCUCUGGACAGUUCCUGACACUGAGGCACGAAGGCCAGGGGAGCAAACGGG
rnacentral:rRNA from 1 species